rnacentral:rRNA from 1 species
AUAGCGUAUAUUAAAGUUGUUGCAGUUAAAAAGCUCGUAGUUGAACUUCAGACCUGGCCGGACGGUCUGCCUAACGGUAUGUACUGUCUGGCUGGGCCUUACCUCUUGGUGAGCCGGCAUGCCCUUCACUGGGUGUGUCGGGGAACCAGGACUUUUACCUUGAGAAAAUUAGAGUGUUCAAAGCAGGCUUAUGCUCGAAUACAUUAGCAUGGAAUAAUAAAAUAGGACGUGCGGUUCUAUUUUGUUGGUUUCUAGAGUCGCCGUAAUGAUUAAUAGGGACAGUCGGGGGCAUCAGUAUUCAAUUGUCAGAGGUGAAAUUCUUGGAUUUAUUGAAGACUAACUACUG